GACGAACGCUGGCGGCGUGCUUAACACAUGCAAGUCGAGCGGUAAGGCCCUUUCGGGGGUACACGAGCGGCGAACGGGUGAGUAACACGUGGGUGACCUGCCCUCAGCUCUGGGAUAAGCCUGGGAAACCGGGUCUAAUACUGGAUAUGACUCCAUGACGCAUGUUGUGGGGUGGAAAGCCUUGUGCGGCUGAGGAUGGGCCCGCGGCCUAUCAGCUUGUUGGUGGGGUGAGGCCUACCAAGGCGACGACGGGUAGCCGGCCUGAGAGGGCGACCGGCCACACUGGGACUGAGACACGGCCCAGACUCCUACGGGAGGCAGCAGUGGGGAAUCUUGCGCAAUGGGCGAAAGCCUGACGCAGCGACGCCGCGUGAGGGAUGACGGCC
rnacentral:rRNA from 1 species